rnacentral:tRNA from 1 species
GCCUCGUUUAGCGCAGCAGGUAGCGGCCAGUCUCAUAAUCUGAAGGUCGUGGAGUUCGAUCCUCACACGGGCA